AUUGAACGCUGGCGGCAGGCUUAACACAUGCAAGUCGAGCGGAGCGAGGGUGCUUGCACCUUAGCUUAGCGGCGGACGGGUGAGUAAUGCUUAGGAAUCUGCCUAUUAGUGGGGGACAACAUUCCGAAAGGAAUGCUAAUACCGCAUACGCCCUACGGGGGAAAGCAGGGGAUCUUCGGAACUUGCGCUAAUAGAUGAGCCUAAGUCGGAUUAGCUAGUUGGUGGGGUAAAGGCCUACCAAGGCGACGACCUGUAGCGGGUCUGAGAGGAUGAUCCGCCACACUGGGACUGAGACACGGCCCAGACUCCUACGGGAGGCAGCAGUGGGGAAUAUUGGACAAUGGGCGGAAGCCUGAUCCAGCCAUGCCGCGUGUGUGAAGAAGGCCUUUUGGUUGUAAAGCACUUUAAGCGAGGAGGAGGCUACUUAGAUUAAUACUCUGGGAUAGUGGACGUUACUCGCAGAAUAAGCACCGGCUAACUCUGUGCCAGCCGCCGCGGUAA
rnacentral:rRNA from 1 species